rnacentral:rRNA from 1 species
GAUGAACGCUGGCGGCGUGCCUAAUACAUGCAAGUCGAGCGAACAGACGAGGAGCUUGCUCCUCUGACGUUAGCGGCGGACGGGUGAGUAACACGUGGAUAACCUACCUAUAAGACUGGGAUAACUUCGGGAAACCGGAGCUAAUACCGGAUAAUAUAUUGAACCGCAAGGUUCAAUAGUGAAAGACGGUUUUGCUGUCACUUAUAGAUGGAUCCGCGCCGCAUUAGCUAGUUGGUAAGGUAACGGCUUACCAAGGCAACGAUGCGUAGCCGACCUGAGAGGGUGGUCCGCCACACUGGAACUGAGACACGGUCCAGACUCCUACGGGAGGCAGCAGUAGGGAAUCUUCCGCAAUGGGCGAAAGCUUGACGGAGCAACGCCGCGUGAGUGAUGAAGGUCUUCGGAUCGUAAAACUCUGUUAUUAGGGAAGAACAAAUGUGUAAGUAACUAUGCACGUCUUGACGGUACCUAAUCAGAAAGCCACGGCUAACUACGUG